AAGGUAACGAGCGGCCAUUCUGACCGACAACAAACAACAGACUGACUAGGCCCCAAAAGAAGAAGAAGAAGAACCCGCGCGGUGUAUAGGUUAGCAGCAGCGAUGCUCUGGUGCGUCGUCGUGAAGGAACGUUGGCCGAUUUAAAACUGCCGCUGUGGGCCGGGCCCCCACCACCACCACGGCCGCCGUCAGCAAUCAAAUUUUGGCUUAACGCUCAGCGCACGAUCGUCGGCUUACACAACAAGGAAAAGAAAUGAAGCCAACACGGAUGAAGAAGGAAAAGAAAACGAGAUGACAAACGGUUAUAAAACACUCGAAUCGUACCGGGGUUCGUGGGAAUAGAACAAAAGAAAAGACGGCCGGCCGUGCUGGGUGGGCAAGACCAUCCCUAGUUUUUCGUCUUUCUUCAAUGGAGAGAGAGAGAGAGAGGCUCAAACGGCCUCUAAAAAUACGACGGUAGCUUCUCCCUUUCUUUUGGCCAUCCAGAGUUGGAUGACAUCUCCGAGUGUUUGGACAAUGGAUCGACCAGUUGGGGGUGUCGAAUAAUAAACCGGUCCAUCCCCACCUGGAAAAAAAACCUGGGCCUGGGAUGGAUGGAUGGAGACCUUGUCCCAAGUUGAAAUGGUCCACGGCUCAUUUUUUGACGUUGAUGAUCAAUUUCCCAAAACGUGAUGAUGGGCUCCCGCGGGAGAGGUGCGGCCGUGACCCGGGCGUUCCAAGGCGAUGCGGCGGAAACCUGUCGGACAGUAGGAGCGGGAUAGGCCACCACCUCACCACCGGGUCCAUCUUCCCCAAAGGAGAAGGAAGGAUCGGAUAUCCAUCAAAUGUCCACAGCUGUGGCCCAUCUCCAUUCUUGACCCGUUUUUCUGGUAGCGCGCCAAUCGGCGCGCACACACACACAGACAUUUUCGCGUGAAUAAUUGGUCUCUGGUAUGUAUCCUUAACUGCGCAGCCUGACGGGGGCUGUAUACGGGAUACCUGCCGUGUGCCAGCCAGUCAGAGCCACAGCCAGGGCCAUAUGGUAGCGGAAUUCAAAGUUCGCGGGCGUUGUCUGCAUUUGAUGAUGAUGACGUGAUUUUUUGUUUUUAUUUUACUUUUAACUUUUUCAGGGUUCCAGUCGAAUUCCAGCCGCUUCUUUUCUUUUCGUUUUGGGAAUCGUCGACACGCUCCGACACGUGAACAAAUUGACGACCGAGACUCGUCGCAUUUGGCAUUUUGUUUAGGAAGAUUCGCCCCCCGUGAUUGACUCUAAUCCGCCGAGACCGGAACCAAAAACCAAAGGGAAUGUCUCCUUUGUAAAUGUUGAUGACGCGCGAGCGAUGAUUAGUGACGUCAGCGUCGGUGUGUGAGGUGCCGUUUGGCCCGUUUCCCCCCACCAAAAGAUGAAAGGUUCUCCGUGAGAGCUCUCGCCCUUGGAUGAUUCAUUUCCGACGAUAAAACAAGCCUUAAUCCAAAUUUAUCGACACUGUGCUGUGCGCACACACGUGGCUGUUUUUUUUUUAUUUUGGCCAGUUCAUGGGAAAGGACCGGAUCGUAAAAAAUGAUCGUCGCCCCGAAUAAGGCCAUCGAAAUACGACGUACAUUUUCA
rnacentral:lncRNA from 1 species